rnacentral:misc_RNA from 1 species
GACUGCCUCCGUGCCCACCCCCUCCACCACACCUCGCACCUCACGCUCAUGCCCACGCAAGUAAAUCUUUCAGAUCUGCUGGCUCCACUCCACAACCGCUUCCUAUUGUAUCGUAUGCCCACCGUAUCGCACGCCUGCUGACGGGGGACACCUCGGCGUAGUAUCAGAGUGCAGUACCUAACUCUGCGCGGAAGCUAAGGGCCUGCAGCCUGAUUCCAGUUAUUCGUUGUGGACUCUUGGUGCCGGCGAACAGGUCUGGGCUGGUGCUGUGCUGAAGAGACUGGCGGCCGUGAUCGUGCUUGGACCAGAUCAAUGAGAAUUCUGUCAGUGAUUCAAAAAAAAACCCCAUACGCGCGCUACUCGCCCGCCACGGGCGCCGGUGACUUCCGCUUCUCUGCGACUAAUGAGGCGCAGGGAUAUAGCGGAUAUGCGUGCCAAGCAGACAUGUGCAAAUGAGUCGACUCCAACGAUAUUGAUUAAGGACCCGGAUGCCGGUCUUCGACGCCAGCCCGACAUCGCCCAAAGCCGCGCUCACGCGACGAUAGGAGGCGAUGCUCGCCCAGCUGCGCAUGGGUGCCUUGACCGUACUUUGGAUUCCUGCAGCGGCGGCUGGGUGGCGGCGACAGCAUGGAGUGCUGAGGGCGUGCGGCCUACUAGCGCGCUAGCGCUGUGGUGCUUGCGCGCCCGCCAGAGCCUCCGCCCCCGCCUUUGGAAGGCGCGCGGCCUCGGGAGAAGGUGGAGUGCCCCCUGCUGCCUCACACUCACGGCAGCGUCCGGCCUGUCGCGGUGCGUGCGGGCAGGCCAACCAGCCACGCCUCCUCCCUGUGGCAUCGUCGGAAAGGGAGCGCGAGUGCAGCGAACCCCCUCCCCGGACAGCAACGUCGUGCUGAAGCAAAUCCCAAGGUCGGAAAGUGCGAGCACGCUGCAGCAUGCGCUGCCAGCCACAGCUGGCGUGCUGCGCCACAUCCAGUCACGGCAUGCAGAGGUCAGCCGAGCAGGAGUGAUGGGCGAAAGCGGCGCGAAGAGAUCCAUACCGAUCGACGCCGAGGCGCACGCGUGCGCAAGCAGGCGGCACCUCCUCCAUCCGACCGGGCCGGUCGAUGAGGCACGGAUGCCGGAAGCAGGACGAGAACACCCCCGAAUGGCACCAUCGAGCCCUCCAGGCUCCCAUGUGGAGAGCCGCCACGCCAUCCUAUGGGGUGCCGCGGCUCGAGGCAGCUGAGAGGGAGAAAAGCAUGGCAUACAGGCAGGUUGUGCCGGGUUUCAGAGGGCCAUGACCUGAGGCUGGCCCGCCCCCUCCUUGAACUCUCCCGGCAUGCGCCUCGGCCACGCCCUUAUUGUCCGCACGACGGGCGCCACCGCUCGCGCCCUCGAGCAGGAGCCCGGGCACGGACCGCGUGGAUCAAGGCAUGCAGCCCACGCGAGUCUCCGUGUGGCGUCGAUGGCGCAGCACGUGUGCGAAGAAGGGACGAAGGACGAAAAGAGCCCGCAAGGCGCAUGGCCCGAUCCGUCGGCAGGGCGGUUCGCCCUGGCUGGCCAGGGUUUCGCUGUAGCACAGCACACGUAGGUGAGCUGCAGUCUUAUGCGUAUCUUCACCGGCUUGCGCGUUGUAGAUUGAUAUGUGGGAGACUAAAAUCUCUUUCAUCAAGCCGCUCUCUACAGCGCUGCACAUCUUCCUCCGUUGAUGCUCUGCUUUGCAUCAUGUGCUGUCUGCAUCUGUGUCUGCUUCCUGAUCCCCUUUGGUACUUUUCUUCCGCUGCGUCUACUUCCAUCCUCUGCACUCGCGCAUGCGUGCGAAUGAAAAAAAAACGUGCACAUAUGACCGUUGUUGUUCAG